GACGGAGGGUGCAAGCGUUGUUCGGAAUUACUGGGCGUAAAGCGCGGGCAGGUGGCCCUUUAAGUCCUUUGUGAAACUCCGGAGCUCAACUCCGGAUCUGCGGUGGGUACGGGCAGACUAGAGUGAUGUAGGGGAGACUGGAAUUCCUGGUGUAGCGGUGAAAUGCGCAGAUAUCAGGAGGAACACCAGUGGCGAAGGCGGCUACCUGGACCAGCACUGACACUGAGGCACGAAAGCGUGGGGAGCAAACAGG
rnacentral:rRNA from 1 species